rnacentral:rRNA from 1 species
CAGCAGCCGCGGUAAAACGUAGGUGGCAAGCGUUGUCCGGAAUUAUUGGGCGUAAAGGGCUCGCAGGCGGUUUCUUAAGUCUGAUGUGAAAGCCCCCGGCUCAACCGGGGAGGGUCAUUGGAAACUGGGAAACUUGAGUGCAGAAGAGGAGAGUGGAAUUCCACGUGUAGCGGUGAAAUGCGUAGAGAUGUGGAGGAACACCAGUGGCGAAGGCGACUCUCUGGUCUGUAGCUGACGCUGAAGAGCGAAAGCGUGGGGAGCGAACAGGAUUAGAGACCCCUGUAGUCCCUGUCUCUUAUAA